AAGCCGGACCUCCGCCACGUGGCAAGCCGGACGCCCGGGGAUCGGGUGUCGCCACACAUCAAAGCCAACGUUUGCUAACACCUGAGCUCCCCCCCCGCUUGAUACCAGAAGAAGGGUAGUAACCAAGAUAGGUAGGAGACCGAUGCUUGGGAGAGGGUGAGAAACCAAAGAUCCCUGAAGGCUCACUGACUCCCACACUGUUCAGCUAGACCAUCAUGGAGCCAAUCCUACAAGUCAACACUCCAAAAUUCCAGAUCUGCCUCUCUCCAUGCUGGCUUCUUCCUCAGACCCAGCACCCUGCUUGGUUACAAAAAGGCAACUGGCAGCAGAUGUAACUUCAUGUUCCCGGUUCACUUCUGAAGGGGAGAACAUUACUUCCUGAAAGGGAGGAUCAGAGAUUCUCAGUUCCCUGCUGAGUAGAACACCUGUGAAGAAAUCCCUGUGGCUAGGGAAAUGCCACAUUCUGGCUGGAUUAGGCUUGUAUAAAUUAAUCCAGUCAAUGGAACAUAAUUAAACUACCCAGGAUCCUUCCACAAACGCUAGUGAAAAGGUAGACACAAUCAAAAUGCAAGGCUGCUACCAAGUAGGAUGGAAAUGAUGUGGGUGUGAGAUGGGGAAAAUGUACACCAUG
ensembl:lncRNA